rnacentral:rRNA from 1 species
GACGAACGCUGGCGGCGUGCCUAAUACAUGCAAGUGGGACGCAAGGGAACACACUGUGCUUGCACACCGUGUUUUCUUGAGUCGCGAACGGGUGAGUAACGCGUAGGUAACCUGCCUAUUAGCGGGGGAUAACUAUUGGAAACGAUAGCUAAUACCGCAUAAUAUUAAUUAUUGCAUGAUAAUUGAUUGAAAGAUGCAAGCGCAUCACUAGUAGAUGGACCUGCGUUGUAUUAGCUAGUUGGUAAGGUAAGAGCUUACCAAGGCGACGAUACAUAGCCGACCUGAGAGGGUGAUCGGCCACACUGGGACUGAGACACGGCCCAGACUCCUACGGGAGGCAGCAGUAGGGAAUCUUCGGCAAUGGACGAAAGUCUGACCGAGCAACGCCGCGUGAGUGAAGAAGGUUUUCGGAUCGUAAAGCUCUGUUGUAAGUCAAGAACGUGUGUGAGAGUGGAAAGUUCACACAGGAAACGG